GAUGAACGCUGGCGGCGUGCCUAAUACAUGCAAGUCGAGCGAACAGACGAGGAGCUUGCUCCUCUGACGUUAGCGGCGGACGGGUGAGUAACACGUGGAUAACCUACCUAUAAGACUGGGAUAACUUCGGGAAACCGGAGCUAAUACCGGAUAAUAUAUUGAACCGCAUGGUUCAAUAGUGAAAGACGGUUUUGCUGUCACUUAUAGAUGGAUCCGCGCCGCAUUAGCUAGUUGGUAAGGUAACGGCUUACCAAGGCAACGAUGCGUAGCCGACCUGAGAGGGUGAUCGGCCACACUGGAACUGAGACACGGUCCAGACUCCUAAGGGAGGCAGCAGUAGGGAAUCUUCCGCAAUGGGCGAAAGCCUGACGGAGCAACGCCGCGUGAGUGAUGAAGGUCUUCGGAUCGUAAAACUCUGUUAUUAGGGAAGAACAAAUGUGUAAGUAACUAUGCACGUCUUGACGGUACCGAAUCAGAAAGCCACGGCUAACUACGUG
rnacentral:rRNA from 1 species